CGGGGGGGGGCAAGCGUUGUUCGGAAUUACUGGGCGUAAAGGGCGCGUAGGCGGUCCGCAAGUCUUUCGUGAAAUCCCACAGCUCAACUGUGGAAUUGCGAGGGAAACUGCGGGACUUGAGUCCCGGGAGAGGAGAGUGGAAUUCCCAGUGUAGCGGUGAAAUGCGUAGAUAUUGGGAGGAACACUGGUGGCGAAGGCGGCUCUCUGGACCGGCACUGACGCUGAGGCGCGAAAGCUAGGGGAGCAAACGGGAUUAGAUACCCCGGUAGUCCUAGCCCUAAACGAUGAGCACUUGGUGUGGCGGGUAUCGACCCCUGCCGUGCCGAAGCUAACGCAUUAAGUGCUCCGCCUGGGGAGCACGGUCGCAAAGGCUG
rnacentral:rRNA from 1 species